rnacentral:rRNA from 1 species
UGGGGAAUUUGGACAAUGGGCGAAAGCCUGAUCCAGCAAUGCCGCGUGUGUGAAGAAGGCCUUCGGGUUGUAAAGCACUUUUGUCCGGAAAGAAAUCCUUGGCUCUAAUACAGUCGGGGGAUGACGGUACCGGAAGAAUAAGCACCGGCUAACUACGUGCCAGCAGCCGCGGUAAUACGUAGGGUGCAAGCGUUAAUCGGAAUUACUGGGCGUAAAGCGUGCGCAGGCGGUUUGCUAAGACCGAUGUGAAAUCCCCGGGCUCAACCUGGGAACUGCAUUGGUGACUGGCAGGCUAGAGUAUGGCAGAGGGGGGUAGAAUUCCACGUGUAGCAGUGAAAUGCGUAGAGAUGUGGAGGAAUACCGAUGGCGAAGGCAGCCCCCUGGGCCAACACUGACGCUCAUGCACGAAAGCGUGGGGGAGCAAACAGGAUUAGAUACCCUGGUAGUCCACGCCCUAAACGAUGUCAACUAGUUGUUGGGGAUUCAUUUCCUUAGUAACGUAGCUAACGCGUGAAGUUGACCGCCUGGGGAGUACGGUCGCAAGAUUAAAACUCAAAGGAAUUGACGGGGUCAUAGCUGUUUCCU